rnacentral:rRNA from 1 species
AGAAAACUUUGCAAUGUGCGAAAGCACGACAAGGUUAAUCCGAGUGGUUUCUGCUAAAGAAACCUUUUGUUAGUCCUAGAAACACUAGUGAAUAAGGGGUGGGCAAGUUCUGGUGUCAGCCGCCGCGGUAAAACCAGCACCUCAAGUGGUCAGGAUGAUUAUUGGGCCUAAAGCAUCCGUAGCUCGUUUUGUAAGUUUUCGGUUAAAUCCAUGCGCUUAACGUAUGGGCUGCCGGGAAUGCUGCAUAACUAGGAAGUGGGAGAGGUAGACGGUACUCGGUAGGAAGGGGUAAAAUCCUUUGAUCUAUUGAUGACCACCUGUGGCGAAGGCGGUCUACCAGAACACGUUCGACGGUGAGGGAUGAAAGCUGGGGGAGCAAACCGGAUUAGAUACCCGGGUAGUCCCAGCCGUAAACUAUGCAAACUCAGUGAUGCAUUGGCUUGUAGCCAAUGCAGUGCUGCAGGGAAGCCGUUAAGUUUGCCGCCUGGGAAGUACGUACGCAAGUAUGAAACUUAAAGGAAUUGGCGGGGGAGCACCACAAGGGGUGAAGCCUGCGGUUCAAUUGGAGUCAACGCCAGAAAUCUUACCCGGAGAGACAGCAGAAUGAAGGUCAAGCUGAAGACUUUACCAGACAAGCUGAGAGGUGGUGCAUGGCCGUCGCCAGCUCGUGCCGUGAGAUGUCCUGUUAAGUCAGGCAACGAGCGAGAUCCCUGCCUCUAGUUGCCACCAUUACUCUCAGGAGUAGUGGGGCGAAUUAGCGGGACCGCCGCAGUUAAUGCGGAGGAAGGAGGGGGCCACGGCAGGUCAGUAUGCCCCGAAACUCUGGGGCCACACGCGGGCUGCAAUGGUAGUGACAAUUGGUUCCGAAUCCGAAAGGAGGAGGUAAUCCUCAAACGCUACCACAGUUAUGACUGAGGGCUGCAACUCGCCCUCACGAAUAUGGAAUCCCUAGUAACUGCGUGUCAUUAUCGCGCGGUGAAUACGUCCCUGCUCC